CUGUUUGAUCCUUCUAGUAUUAAUAUGCUUGUCUCAAAGAUUAAGCCAUGCAUGUCUAAGUAUGAACUAAUUCAGACUUUGAAACUGCAGAUGGCUUAUUAAAUCAGUUAUAGUUUCUUUUAUGGUACCCUACUACUCAGAUAACCGUAGUAAUUAUAGAGCUAAUACAUGCACCAAGUCCUGAAUCUUUGGAAGGGAUGAAUUUAUUAGAUAAAAGGUUGGGGCGGGCUUGCCCGCUUCUUCGGUGAAUCAUGAUAACUCAACGGAUUGCACAUCCCUUGUGUUGGAAAUGAUUCAUUCAAAUUUCUUCCCUAUUAACUUUUGAUGGUAGGAUAGAAGCCUACCAUGGUGGUGAUGGGUGAUGGAUAAUUAGGGUUCGAUUCUGGAGAGGGAGCUUGAGAAACGACUACCACAUCCAAGGAAGGCAAUAGGCGCGCAAAUUACCCAAUCCUGACAUGGGGAGGUAGUGACAAUAAAUAACAAUACUGGGCUCAUCGAGUCUGAAAAUUGGAAUGAGUACAAUCUAAAUCCCUUAACGAGGAUCCAUUGGAGGGAAAGUCUGGUGCCAACAGCCACGGUAAUUCCAUCUCCAAUAGCGUAUAUUUAAGUUGUUGUAGUUAAAAAUCUCGUAGUUGGAACUUGGGUCGUAAAGGUCGGUCUGCCUACUCGGUGUGCACCUUCCCUUCCGUCCCUUUUGUCGGCGAUGUGCUCCUAGCCUUAAUUGGUUGCGUCGCGGUUCCGGCGUUGUUAUUUUGAAAAAAUUAGAGUGCUCAAAGAAAUCUUAUGCUCCGAAUACAUUAGCAUGGAAUAAAGCAAUAGAAGUAUGGUCCUAUUGUGUUGGCCUUCGAGACCAGAGUAAUGAUUAAUAGGGGUUGUCAGGGGCAUUUUUAUUUCAUUGUUAGAGGUGAAAUUAUUAGAUUUAUGAAAUACAAACCACUACGAAAGAUUUUUCCAAGGAUGUUUUCAUUAAUCAAGAACGAAAUUUGGGGGUUUGAAGAUGAUCAGAUACCAUCCUAGUCUCAAUAAUAAAUGAUGUCAACCAGGGAUCGACAGAUGUUUCUCUAAGGACUCCGCCAACACCUUCUGAGAAAUCAGAGCAUUUGGGUUCUG
rnacentral:ncRNA from 1 species